rnacentral:rRNA from 1 species
GACGAACGCUGGCGGCGUGCUUAACACAUGCAAGUCGAACGAAAAGACGGAAAGAGCUUGCUCUUUUCAGAAUUGAGUGGCAAACGGGUGAGUAACGCGUAAACAACCUGCCUUCAGGAUGGGGACAACAGACGGAAACGACUGCUAAUACCGAAUAAGUUCCAAGAGCCGCAUGGCCCAUGGAAGAAAAGGUGGCCUCUACCUGUAAGCUAUCGCCUGAAGAGGGGUUUGCGUCUGAUUAGCUGGUUGGAGGGGUAACGGCCCACCAAGGCGACGAUCAGUAGCCGGUCUGAGAGGAUGAACGGCCACAUUGGGACUGAGACACGGCCCAGACUCCUACGGGAGGCAGCAGUGGGGAAUCUUCCGCAAUGGGCGCAAGCCUGACGGAGCAACGCCGCGUGAGUGAAGAAGGUCUUCGGAUCGUAAAGCUCUGUUGAUGGGGACGAACGUACGGAGUGCGAAUAGUGCUCNGUAAUGA